ACCACACUGCGUCAGUUCGCCCUGCGGCUCAGUAGCAACUUCAACUUCAUCUCUUUCUCUCAACCCCGUGUUCCAUCUCCAACAUUUCAGAUUGACAGAAUAGCAACAAGGAUGCACCUGGCUGCACUCAUCCUGCUGGUCCUGGUGAUAGGACAAGUUGGAAGAAUUGGAGGAGCAGAAGAAAGAGGAAUAGGAGCAGGAGGAAGA